CAACCCUAGGUGGGUAAAAAAAAGAGAUUAUUUACCACUAAGAGGAGAUCUGGGAUCCAUAACACCCUCAUAUAGAAAAAAGUGAUAAUAGAAGCCCCAGGAACACAAAAGUAUCAUGCAUGGGGUCUUUGCAAGAGUAAACUACUCCUGCCCCCUGCUCCAGAGGAAAAUGCCUACUCUUAAGAGAAAGAGUGCCUAGGGGUCCUCUGUACUAUGUAGGCAUGCCAGCCCCCCAGGUUCCUGAGCUGGAGCCUGAGUGCACUAUGGAGUCCACCAAGUCCUCCCUGGGCUCUCAGCAAAAGAUCUGCCAGUACUCUUCAGGUCCAAGCCUAAGAUCCUGGGAGCUCAGUCAUCCAUAGCUGGUGUCAGGCCACAGGUCUCACCUUAUCAAAGGCAGGAAGGAGGUAGGGAGAUAUGGCUUUAAGCUAUAGACAAAAAGAGGCAGCAGUGGAGGGCAUUGCCAGGGACAUUAAGGCUCCAUGUAUUUUUUUGAACUGACUUAAAACAAUUCCACCAUCCAGAGUGGGCAAAGCUUAAAAGUUAAUGUUAUAGAGCUUCCCAGAGAAUAUGGCAUGGUGGGAGGAUCAUGGGGAAUGGAGUUGAAAGCCUAGACUCCCUGUUCUGCUGCUUACCAGCUGUGUCAUCCUGGACAGGCUGAGCCUUGGUGCCUCAUCUGUGAAAUGGGCAUGAUAACAUAUAUAUUGUUUAUGCAAAGAUAAUCUCUAGAAGGACAUCUGGGGAAGGGAAACUGAGGAUCAAAGGUCAGAAGGUGACUUAUUUUCACUGUAUAUUCUGUUAGUUUGACCUUUUUAUCAUGUGCAUGUUAUAAUAUUUUUAAUUUAAAUUAAAUUAGAAUAUGAAUAAUAACAGUGUCACAGGAAUGUUGAGCGAGUAAAAACAUAUGAAAAGCAUUGAACAGGCUGAGCACGGUGGCUCAUGCUUGGAAUCCCUGCACUUUGGGAGGCUGAGGUGGGCGGAUCACUUGAGGUCAGGAGUUCAAAACCAGCCUGGCCAACAUGGUGAAACCCCAUCUCUACUAAAAAUACAAAAGUUAGCCAGGCGUGGUGGUGCAUGCCUGUAAUCCCAGGUACACAGGAGGCUGAGACAGGAGAAUUGCUUGAACCUGGCAGGCAGAGGUUGCAGUGAGUUGAGAUCAUACCAUUGCACUCCAGCCUGAGCAACAGAGCAAGACUCUGUCUCAAAGAAAAAAAAAAAAGAAAAGCACUGAACAGAAAGGUUAGUUUUAUACAAGAAUGAAGGAGGGAAGAACAUGAAAGGCCCUCAAAGAAUCCUCAUUUUAUAAAGAAGGGCAUUGAGGCCCAGCCCAAGUAACUAUUUAUUAAAUCUCUAAUUAAUGUCCACAAACUACUACAAAACAAUAACUGGAAAUGAUUAGUUUUGCAUAUGAUAUAUUAGAAGUGAGCUGAGUAACCCAUGGAAUCUGUCUGGUACAACUCCUCAUCUGAGAUAUGAAAACACAGAGGUCCAGAGAGGAGAUGUGACUUGCUUAACAUCACACAGCUAGUGAGUAGCCAAGCAGAUGAGCCUCCUAACUCCCCUUUCUUUCUUGCAUGCCACACUAAUCAGAGAUGCAAAGGUACUUGUCUUAAAAAGCAAGAGAGGGACAAGCAAAAGGAAAAGUAGGAAUAAGUGAACUUCCUUCUUUGUCCCUGAUUUCUAUAAUUUUCUUUCCACUAUCUCCCUGCAGCCCCCCGAUCCUUGCCAUGAACUCAACACUUUGCAGCAAGCCCACUCGUAUCCCCAGCAGAAAUUUCAGAGGGUCUCUCUCUUUCUAAUGUUCCUGUGUUAUGUAACAGAGCUGAACUGGCACCCCAGCUGAUCCCUCCUACCUAAUUACAUCAUUUACCUUCAGACCUUGACAUCUGGCUGUCUUCUCAGCUCUGGAAACUUGUCAGAAUCCAAUAUCUCAAAGAGUGGGUCUGAAGCUGGACAGCAGGGAACACCCCAUUCUCCUGCCCCCAGCUCUCCUAUGGAAUCCUAAUUCAAGGCAGGGUCGGGUGUGAAGGGCAGCUCAGGGGAAGAAUAUCCGAUCGUGGCUAAUACCCACCUCCUCUAAGAAGCUUAUCAGGGCAUUGUACAAGUUCUGGGUCCCGGUACACCUGACCAAGCCUGAGAGAGUGGGCCUUCCACCAGGGACACAGAGGGGCUCACUGUGGGCCCACAAAGUCAAUGGAGGAACUGGGGAGAUUUCUCAAACUUGUUUCUAAGCUAUGAGAAUGAGAGGUGGUCUAGGGUUUCCAUGCUUAGAUGGUGGAAAGUUUUGAAAAGAUUCAGAAGGCGCUCUGAGAAAACGAAGGGAAAGUGACUGGGGCUUAAGAGAUCAGAAGACCUCAGUUAGCAUUAGGCUCGACUUGCUACUGUGUGAUUCUAAUGUAAUCUAAAAGUAAAUGUGGGGAUAAUAAUACCUGUCCUUCCUAUUUGUAAGGUGAAUGUGAGAAUCAAAAUAAAAAACAAAGAUUAUAGAGAAAACACCAAGCAAACUUCAAAGCAAUUCAUACCUGAAAUCUAUUUUAUUAGGCCUAAAGGAAAUCCUUGGUGUAGAGGGCACUAAUGGAUCUCCCCAGAGCAGGCUGGGACAUCCCAAGAUACCUGAGGAGUUGGUGCCCUGAGCCCCCCGCGCCUCCAGCCCAUGACUUGGAGCUGAUCAAAGUGGGAGUAGGAGUACCUGGGUGCAUGAUGCUUUGGGUUACUUUCAUCUGAAAUAGCAGUUAAUCCUCACAGCCUCACCUCUACCCUGCUUCACCUUGAGUGGCCUGGAACAGUAAGAAGGUCACGAGCUCCCUCUGCUGAAGCCCACAGAAGGGCCCACCCACUGUGGAAGAGCUGGCUUCAUCUCUGAGUAUGCUGGGGUCACUCUGGAUGUUGGAAGCCUGGGAUCAGGACCUGAGGUCUGCUAGUUACAUGUCCUUGCCUUUAUGCUGCUGUGGGCAGAACAAAAUCUAGUUCUUUCCCUUUUCAUGCCACUAUGUAACACAGUCUCAAUCUGGCCCAGAAAGAUGAAAAAAGGAAUAUAAUUCACAAAGUAAAA